AUUGAACGCUGGCGGCAGGCUUAACACAUGCAAGUCGAGCGGGGUGAUGGUGCUUGCACUAUCACUUAGCGGCGGACGGGUGAGUAAUGCUUAGGAAUCUGCCUAUUAGUGGGGGACAACAUCUCGAAAGGGAUGCUAAUACCGCAUACGUCCUACGGGAGAAAGCAGGGGAUCACUUGUGACCUUGCGCUAAUAGAUGAGCCUAAGUCGGAUUAGCUAGUUGGUGGGGUAAAGGCCUACCAAGGCGACGAUCUGUAGCGGGUCUGCGAGGAUGAUCCGGCACACUGGGACUGAGACACUGACCAGAAUCCUACGGGAGGCAGCAGUGGGGAAUAUUGGACAAUGGGGGGAACCCUGAUCCAGCCAUGCCGCGCGUGUGAAGAAGGCCUUAUGGUUGUAAAGCACUUUAAGCGAGGAGGAGGCUCUUUUGGUUAAUACCCAAGAUGAGUGGACGUUACUCGCAGAAUAAGCACCGGCUAACUCUGUGCCAGCAGCCGCUGUAA
rnacentral:rRNA from 1 species